GACGAACGCUGGCGGCGUGCCUAAUACAUGCAAGUCGAACGCAGUGGGGACGGGUGAGUAACACGUGGGUAACCUCCCAUCAGAGGGGAUAACACUUGGAAACAGGUGCUAAACCGAUACUGAUGGAUGGACCCGCGGUGCAUGAGCUAGUUGGUGAGGUAACUGCUCACCAAGGCCACGAUGCAUAGCCCACCUGAGAGGGGGAUCUGCCACCACGGGACUUGGGCACGGCCCAGAAUCCGACGGGAGGCAGCAGUUGGGAAUCUUCCGCAAUGGGCGGAAGUCUGACCCAGCAACGGCGCGUGAGUGAAGAAGGUUUUCGGAUCGUAAAACUCUUGUGUUAGAGAAGCGGUAUCUAACCAGGAAGCCCCGGCUAACUACGUGCCAGCCGCCGCGGUAAUUC
rnacentral:rRNA from 1 species